CAUGUUUCCAGGUCUGAUGAAGGCCUCUACAAGUGUGACAUCAGCGGUCAUGGAGAGUCUCCAUCCAGCUGGAUCACUGUCACAGUUGGCAUCCGGAGCCCACCUGCCAAGCCUCAUGAAUCUAACCGCCUGGAUCCUGGUUCGCACCUGAGGGAGACUUCCCUUCCAAACUGCCAGUGUCUCCUGCCUGCCUCCCUGUAUCACACGCAGUACUCACCUGGAUACCCGCCUCACGCCAUUCCCCUCCAAACAACCUCCACCUGCAAACAUUGCCCUGGCCAGCCAUAGCUUCCCGCCCCCAGUCUCUGCACCCAGUUGUCACAGUGACUUUUCUUACUUUAGUAAUCGUUAUAGCCGCCUCUGCCUCAGACGUCAAGUUUAUGUUUAUUCUAAAUAAUCGUCUGAGUUUUCAGUUGCUAACACAGCGUUGUGAAUAAAGUUUUGUUUUGCACCGC
ensembl:lncRNA